rnacentral:rRNA from 1 species
UACAGAGGUCUCAAGCGUUGGUCGGAUUCAUUGGGCGUAAAGGGUGUGUAGGUGGCGCCGUAAGUCGGGUGUGAAAUUUCGGAGCUUAACUCCGAAACUGCAUUCGAUACUGCGGUGCUUGAGGACUGGAGAGGAGACUGGAAUUCAUGGUGUAGCAGUGAAAUGCGUAGAGAUCAUGAGGAAGACCAGUGGCGAAGGCGGGUCUCUGGACAGUUCCUGACACUGAGACACGAAGGCCAGGGGAGCAAACGGG